AUACGGAGUUGGAUGCACACGGUGGGCUUGAGAUCCCGCACGCCCCAGCUCCAGCGCAUCUCCACCCACAGCCCCUGGCCCCCACCACCUCUGCCAUCGCAGUCCAGCCUGGAAAGCAGCCUGCAGUCUCAGGUCACAAGUUGGAGGGUACAAAGAGCCUCCAUUCAGGCUUCAAAAAUAACAACAAGGCUGGGCACAAUGGCUCAUGCCUAUAAUCCCAACACUUUGGAAGGCCAAGAUGGAAGGAUCACUUAGGGCCAGGAGUCCCAGAUCAGCGUGGGCAACAUAGUGAGAUCCUGUCUCUACCAAAACAAAACAAACAAACAAAAACAAGACGAGCAACAAACAAACAAGCAGAAACCCCGGUCGGUUGCCAAGUUACGCAGAAGGGGCUGCUACUUCAUCAGUCUUCCUGUCAAACAUUCUGUGUCUACAUGAAAUGAAACUGCAGGCAGAUGAGUUAAGGGAAGAUGGAUAAAGAUAAUAACGCAUCUGACAUAACGCAGUAAUGUGCUCACCGCAGUACCUGGAUCUUCAACUACAAGGUUUGCCACUUGGGAAAAUGCAGUGGAAGUAUUGUUCUCAGGGGCGCCUGCACCGAAGAAGCAGAGGGCGUCCUGCUCUCAGUCGCGGUCUAUAAAAUAGGUUCUGAUUCCUAAAACUGGAGGCAUCAUUGAACUUUUGGAGAGUGUUGCCUUAAAGUAAUUGUGUUUAACUCUGUGUGUGUGUGUGUGUGUCUGUCUCACUCACAUUUACAUACAAACUUUUCAAAACACUUACAUCUCUAAGCGAUACAGAUGGCGACACUUCACAUGUUUUAAACUCCUACAUGCGUUCCUCUAGACAUCAGGGCAGGGAAAACAUAAGAGGCUUCAUUUCCAGCAAAAACAAACUGCAGAGCCCUGGCAACGCCCCCUUUCUCACUCCCCCUUUCCGGAGCACCUUCCCACUUUCUCCUCUUUUGCCAACUCCUGUGCCUCCAUCAGUGUCGCUCUGAAACAUCUUCUCACCCUAGAAGCUUCCCUGGCAUCCCAGGCACGGUUAGGAGCCUCUCCUAAAAGAAGACUUCUUAGAAGAUGUGGCAUUUCUUGCCUGGCUGAUGGAGGCACCUCUGCUGGAAUGUGGCAGACAGUGUCGAGCAGGAGAGCACAGCUGCAAAUGCAACACGACAGCAGUGUCUCUGUCACAUGCGUCCUGUGGGCAGGGGCUUUACUAUCUACUAAGGGAUUUAAUAUCUCAUUUGAAUCCUCCCAGAGGUAGGUGUUCAUACCCCCAACUUACAGAUAAGGAAACUGAGACUUGGAGAGGAUUAAAAAAUGUCCUGAGUCAAACACCUAUCAAAUGGCAAAGCAGGUGUUUAAACACAAGACUUGGGCUAAAGCCUAUGUUUUUACCAUGGUGUUAAGUGACUUCCCUUGACAUGUCCAACAGGCUUUUAGGGUGUUUUCUCAGUCCACACAAGUUGACAAAGAUUCUAAAACAAAGCAGUGUGGCCAUUUUAUGCCAGCAACUUCUUGCCUCCUUUGUAAGCCUUGGACACAAUCCUGGCAGCAGCAGAUCAAGAGCUCGAUUCUGAAGAACCUAGGCCAGGCCGCCACUGGCCCAUGCAAAGUCCUGGGAGAUCACCCAGGGAAGGUGCGUGCUUUGCUUAGAGCCCAUCAGUGUUGCUGUUUCAUGCUCCACUGAUUCCUAUCCAAAAUUUUUGCAAGUCCUAAAUGCUAGAAGCUCCACCUCAGGUUUAACCCACGCACAGUCUUUUCUUUCUUACUUCUGAGGUUUAAAAUUAUUCUUUGAUUCAAAGUUGUGUUUCUAAUGAAGAUGACUGAAAGCUGAUUUGAAAAUAUCAGGCAUCAUUCGCUGUGAAGAGAGAGCCAAAGGGGCUGGCUGGUGCACCAGACACAGAUAGUUUCAGAAGACAGUGGUUUCCUAUUUAAUGCAAUGGAGGAAUGUCGUUCUGAGAGGUGGCUGUGUUGUUCCUCAUUCCACACCCUGCCCACCCCAAGAUGAUGUCAUAGCCAGAGGUAAGAUGGGCACCAGUGAAGAGCAGCGCCUUUGGACAAACCUGCCUCCUCUGUAGUUACCUUUGUGAGCCUAAGUGAGUCCAUUUUGAAUCUCAGAUUCCUCAUUUGUAAAAUGGGGCCGCCAAUGCUCCUCUCAUAGAGA
ensembl:lncRNA novel transcript